rnacentral:rRNA from 1 species
GAUGAACGCUGGCGGCGUGCCUAAUACAUGCCAGUCGAGCGAACAGACGAGGAGCUUGCUCCUCUGACGUUAGCGGCGGACGGGUGAGUAACACGUGGAUAACCUACCUAUAAGACUGGGAUAACUUCGGGAAACCGGAGCUAAUACCGGAUAAUAUAUUGAACCGCAUGGUUCAAUAGUGAAAGACGGUUUUGCUGUCACUUAUAGAUGGAUCCGCGCCGCAUUAGCUAGUUGGUAAGGUAACGGCUUACCAAGGCGACGAUGCGUAGCCGACCUGAGAGGGUGAUCGGCCACACUGGAACUGAGACACGGUCCAGACUCCUACGGGAGGCAGCAGUAGGGAAUCUUCCGCAAUGGGCGAAAGCCUGACGGAGCAACGCCGCGUGAGUGAUGAAGGUCUUCGGAUCGUAAAACUCUGUUAUUAGGGAAGAACAAAUGUGUAAGUAACUAUGCACGUCUUGACGGUACCUAAUCAGAAAGCCACGGCUAAAUACGU